AGGCAGCAGUGGGGAAUCUUCCGCAAUGGGCGAAAGCCUGACGGAGCGAUACCGCUUGAAGGACGAAGCCCUUCGGGGUGUAAACUUCUGAACUCGGGACGAUAAUGACGGUACCGAGGUAAUAGCACCGGCUAACUCCGUGCCAGCAGCCGCGGUAAUACGGAGGGUGCGAGCGUUACCCGGAUUUACUGGGUGUAAAGGGCGUGUAGGCGGUCUCUCAAGACCGAUGCUAAAGACCGAAGCUCAACUUCGGGGGUGCGUUGGAUACUGUGAGGCUAGACGGUCGGAGAGGGUAGCGGAAUUUCCGGAGUAGCGGUGAAAUGCGCAGAUACCGGAAGGAACGCCAAUAGCGAAAGCAGCUACCUGGACGAUUUGUGACGCUGAGGCGCGAAAGCGUGGGGAGCAAACCGGAUUAGAUACCCUAGUAGUCC
rnacentral:rRNA from 1 species